GGGGGGAACCCUGAUCCAGCCAUGCCGCGUGUGUGAAGAAGGCCUUUUGGUUGUAAAGCACUUUAAGCGAGGAGGAGGCUACUCUAGUUAAUACCUAGGGAUAGUGGACGUUACUCGCAGAAUAAGCACCGGCUAACUCUGUGCCAGCAGCCGCGGUAAUACAGAGGGUGCGAGCGUUAAUCGGAUUUACUGGGCGUAAAGCGUGCGUAGGCGGCUUUUUAAGUCGGAUGUGAAAUCCCUGAGCUUAACUUAGGAAUUGCAUUCGAUACUGGGAAGCUAGAGUAUGGGAGAGGAUGGUAGAAUUCCAGGUGUAGCGGUGAAAUGCGUAGAGAUCUGGAGGAAUACCGAUGGCGAAGGCAGCCAUCUGGCCUAAUACUGACGCUGAGGUAUGAAAGCAUGGGGAGCAAACAGGAUUAGAUACCCUGGUAGUCCAUGCCGUAAACGAUGUCUACUAGCCGUUGGGGCCUUUGAGGCUUUAGUGGCGCAGCUAACGCGAUAAGUAGACCGCCUGGGGAG
rnacentral:rRNA from 1 species